rnacentral:lncRNA from 1 species
GAAUACAUGAGUAAGUAUUAAGCAAUAAAUCAUUAGUUGAAAUAAAUCUCAAAAUGAAUGUUAUUGGUAAACUCAGCCUUUAUAGAAAGUUAUUUUAAACCCAAGUAUAAACAUUAUUCUUUUAUAAGUAACAUGGCUUUGCAUUUGCCACUAAAACACAUUUAAUAAAAUGGAAACUCCAUAUAAAAUUGCUAAGUGCAUAAACUAAAGGUUAGGAAGUUAUGCCAACAGAGAAUUAGGAUAACCAAACCAAAAUGUUCCUACUCUGAAGCUGUGGGUAACCAUCAAAGACAUUUGCACAGUGCUCCAGACAGAUCACCGACUCUAGGAGAUGCACUACCAUGUUUAAAUAUGAACGUAGGAUACUAAUACUUUCCCCGUUUGGAUAAACAACUAUAAAAAUCUGUUAUAAAAAGAGCCUGAAAUAAUUUCCUUGAGCUGAUUUCUCUCUUUAAAAUCCUAGGUGAUUGACAUCACAGACACCUGCCAGGAAUUGUGCUCCUGGAAAUCCAUGAUUACUAGGAUUCGUAUUGAUAAACUUGCCCCUGCAUAAGAAUGUCUCUUGGAACACCCACGCCAAGCACCACCCACCACAGGACAGAGCAAACUUACUCUUAUACGGGGGGAUGUCCAUGAGUUUAGGGGUGUCACCAUUUCAACUCCCACAUUGGAUCUUCAAAAAAGAAGAUAACAAAUUAGCCUGCUGUCCGUCCGUACAAUACAGCUCCUUGCCCUCCAGAGAGCAGAUACUCCUUCACUGGGGUGGAUCAUCAGGAGGAAAGAGACUUGGCCUUCCCAGAACAGAGUGACGCUGACAAGGUAGGUGCCGUUGUUGAAGUCUGUCACCUUUCCUGCAGUGCCUGCUUUUAGCGAUGGGGAGGACAUCCUGGCCCUCAGGAAAUACCACCUACUUUCCUUCCUGCAUCUCAAGGGGUCCCUCCCCUCCAGUAGGAUGUCUAGCUGACCUCCCCCUGCAGUAGGGGUCUCGAGGAUGGUGGCGGUCAUGUGGGUGAAAGGUCUGGGUGGGGUCAGCUGGUUUCGUUUCGCCAUGAUUCUGAUCUCCCCCUGCAGUAGGGGUCUCGAGGAUGGUGGCGGUCAUGUGGGUGAAAGGUCUGGGUGGGGUCAGCUGGUUUAGUCUCUCCAUGAUUCACUCUAUUCUUUGCUCAGUAUCUAUUGGUGGCAUUAAUGGGCUCAGGGGUAUUGUAGGGUAUGAGGACUUCAUGGGGGAUUCCAGUGAUGGAAGGAGAUAGGGAAGUUUAGACCAGAGCAAAACUGCAAUUACAAGGUAUGUGACAUAAUGAAAUGAACCAAGUCAUUUCACUUAUUAUGAAUUUGAAUGUUUACCUAUCGUCAUAUUAUUUAAACUGACAAUUUUGAAUGACAUGUAAACAUUUUUUAAAUUAAAAAUUAUUUUUAAUUAUAGUUGAUAUACAAUAUUAUAUCACUGUCAGGUAUAUAACAGUGAUUUGUCCAUUCUAUACAUUACAAAAUGUUCACUGAUUGGUGUAAUCAUGUGUUAACAUAUGAAGUUAUUACAAUAUUAUCGACCAUCUUCCCAAUGCUGUCCUUUUUUUCAUCCCCAUGAGUUAUUUAUAACUGGAAGAUUGUACUUCUUAAUCCCCUUUAUCUGUUUCACUUAUCCCUACUCUGCCCUCUCCUCAGGCAACAAAUAGUUCGUUCAUUUGUGUAUUUCUUAGAUUCAACAUGUAAGUGAAAUCAUAUGAUAUUUGUCUUUCUCUGUUUGGCUUAAUUCAUUUAGCAUAAUACCCUCUAGUUCCGUCCAUGUUGAUGGAAAUGGCAAGAUUUCACUCUUUCAUGGCUAAUAGUCUCUUUUGUAUGUACAUAAUAUGUUCUUUAUCCAUUCAUCAGUCAGUGGACACAGGUGGCUCCCAUAUCUUGGGUCAUGUAAAUAAUGCUUCAAUAAACAUAGGGGUGCAUAUAUCUUUUUGAAUUAG